GCCCCAGCCUUAGUUUGUCUGCCCUAGUCUUUCCCUGUGUUCUCUGUUUAUUAAUUCCACCUGUGUCUUGUUGAUUGUCUUUCAGUGGUGUCUUUAGGUCUGUGGCGUUCACCUGUGUCUUGUUUGGUUUGGUGUAUUUAGUCCUUGUCAUUUGUUCAGUCUUGGUGAGUCGCUGUUUCAUGUAGCGUGUUUCCUGUCAAUUGGUUUCUUGUUGUCUAUCCCUGUUUCUACGUUCUCCAAGGCCUUUUAUUUUGUGAGUCCGGCAUCUUCCAUGUUUCUGCACAACCGUUACAAGGAUACCAAGGAGACAGGCAAUGCCCAUCAAUACAAGAACAACGAAAACACAAGUAAGGAUUUAAAAUGGACAGGGACACUGAUAAGAUAUAUUGGGACAAUCAAUAACAAGGAAGCCACACGGUACUUACUUGGUCAUCAACGGCAUCUGCAUGCAGCAGACGCAGGGAGGGGAAUGCAGUGCGCACAUCCACAGUGUGCAGGAGAAUGAGUCGGAUAGCCCACUCCACACGCUUCUCUCCACCUUUGGCCAUGAAGGCCGGAAUCCACAGGACACUGCCACUGAGGCCCUUGAGCCUGUGCAGGAACCGCUCCCUACCAUCCUCAUCAGCCAGGUCCUGGAAGGCCCUCUGGACAACCGAGGGGUUCAUGGUGACCAGCUGGUGUGGAAACCUUACCUGAUGACAAAGUCAUGAGAGUCAAUUUCUGGGCCGCAGCUGCUGUUCAGCAGGAUUCCAGAAUUCCCCACAAUGGCACACCGAUGGUGGUGCUGGUUCUUCAUGGGGGACGCAGUGGGGAGCAGUUGGUAUAGGUUCUCUGAUAUGUUUGUAGUGCUCUGUCGGUCGAACACAUAGUGGAUGACAUCUCCUGGCUUCAGAGUGCCCUUCAGAAUGGAGAUAUCCCUCUCGGGAUCAAAGAAUUUCAAUAUGUUUUUCCUAAAGAGGGGGGAAUUAAAUAAACCUGUGACUAUGUUUCUCCA